CUCCUGCUCCUGCUCCUGCUCCGGUCCUGACUCGUGGCCGUGAACAUGGCAGGACUGCGCAGAGGAAUAGAAGAAGAAAAGGGCGGAGCUCCGGAGCGCUGGAGUUUUUCCGUGCGAUAUUUUUCUGACACUCGGAACCCUGUUUGUUCCACGGAGGUGACGGUUCUCGCCGUACCGUUACUCAUCUACAGACAGGCAGAGAAAAGCCGAGCAGUGAGAUAUUGUCUGUGAGGACGAGCUCGCCUUUCAGACACUCCACACUGACACACUG